rnacentral:rRNA from 1 species
AUUGAACGCUGGCGGAAUGCUUUACACAUGCAAGUCGAACGGCAGCACGGGGCAACCUGGUGGCGAGUGGCGAACGGGUGAGUAAUACAUCGGAACGUGCCCAAUCGUGGGGGAUAACGUAGCGAAAGUUACGCUAAUACCGCAUACGAUCUACGGAUGAAAGCGGGGGAUCGCAAGACCUCGCGCGAGUGGAGCGGCCGAUGUCAGAUUAGGUAGUUGGUGGGGUAAAGGCUCACCAAGCCAACGAUCUGUAGCUGGUCUGAGAGGGCGACCAGCCACACUGGAACUGAGACACGGUCCAGACUCCUACGGGAGGCAGCAGUGGGGAAUUUUGGACAAUGGGCGCAAGCCUGAUCCAGCCAUUCCGCGUGCAGGAUGAAGGCCUUCGGGUUGUAAACUGCUUUUGUACGGAACGAAACGGCGAGCUCUAAUACAGUUUGCUAAUGACGGUACCGUAAGAAUAAGCACCGGCUAACUACGUG